rnacentral:lncRNA from 1 species
CACUCUGGAGAAUGUUAGGUAAGCACUGAAGAAGUAGGGGUGUAACUGCUGUAUCCUGGCUGAAAAGCUCAAAUUCAUACGGCAUGUGGUGUUCCAAGGCGGCGUCCAGAGUGACAACAGUGAAAGCACGCACCCCGUGACGUUGGAAGUGACUCAACGCCCACGAGACCACUCUAGUGGAUUUGCGCUGUACAGUGAUACACAGCCUCUCCAGCCCUCCUAAAACCUUGACUGGACGCUUCCUGCAGCUAAGUUCCCUUUCUCGAGCAAAGCUUCACCCUGAGUUUGUCCUCGGUCAUGCAGCAGUUUGCAUCUCUUCGACAAACUAAGUCUAACUGUUGUCCAGACCAGUGCAAUUUGGAGGAACCUGGAAGAAGUGAGGGAGGCUGUUGCGUGUGAGCGCCUGAAGGGGUUGUAGCCUCUUGCUUUUUCUCUGUAUCAUGGCCAGGAGGUGAGCAGAUCAUAACUCCAUCAUGAUGUCUGGUGUUGCCUGGGGCCCAAACAAUCGAACUUCACUCACCAGGA